UACGUAGGCAGCGAGCGUUGUUCGGAGUUACUGGGCGUAAAGCGCGCGUAGGCGGGCAUUCAAGUCGGUCGUGAAAUCCCCCAGCUCAACUGGGGAACCGCGUCCGAUACUGUCUGUCUUGAGGACGAGAGGGGAGAGUGGAACUUCUGGUGGAGCGGUGAAAUGCGUAGAUAUCAGAAGGAACACCGGUGGCGAAGGCGACUCUCUGGCUCGUAUCUGACGCUGAGGCGCGAAAGCUUGGGUAGCAAACGGG
rnacentral:rRNA from 1 species